UCCUUAUCCUUCACUCAUCUCUCCUUAAUCCCAUUUAUUCUAAACGCGUUUUCCCCUCUCUCAUCAGCGUAACAUCCUCUACCGUUUCAACCCUGCAGUUCAUCUCUUCUAGAAUUUCAUCACCGUCUUUGAUUUUCAUAUUCAUAAGCUCUUGAAUCGAAACCUCAACUAAACCAGUUAUCCCUUGUUUCCCCUCUCAUCCAGAUUAUAACCAUUCUUCGCUUCAAUCGCAGUCGACCUUCAAUCGUAUCUCUCACGACCCCUUCCAAUUCACUCGACCUUCAAUCGCAUCUCUCAUGGCCCCUUCCAAUCGCAUCUUGAAGCCUCAAACGGGUUGAGGCUGUAAGCCCCACAACUCAUACCAUUAUUAGCACAAUUUUACCAUCUGGGUUUUAUUUUUGCUUGCUACUUUUGGUCUCUCUGCAUAAUCUCAUUCCAGGGUUUUGGGUUUUAUUUUUGGGUUCCUGUUUGGAAUCUGUGAAAAUGGGUUUGCUUUCUGGGAUGUUUAUGGGGAUACUGUUUGGCAUAGCAUUGAUUGCAGCAUGGGAGCAGAUGAUGUGGUACCGAAGUGCCAAGAGAAUUGCAAAGCCCUUGAUCAUUUUCCAGUUAUUCCAAAUUUAACUCUUGUGCUGCUUGAGAUGGUAACAUAUUAAAAUAAAUUGGAAUCUCAUGCUUGCUGAUCUUAGAUGCUUGGGUAUUAGAGGAAGUGCAGAAUGGUUGGUGGAAAUCAUGUAGACAAGCAAGAGGAUUAAAAUGCUGACAGAACAUGCAGGAGCAAUGAGACAGAACAGUUCAUUCCCAGAAUGAUUUGCUAGCUGCCAAAGACCAAGGUUGCAGAAAUGAGAAGCAAGGGGCUCGAUCCAUAUGCUUUUACCAAAUCAUAAAAUAAUAUUGAAGGAAGGCGCUCCGAUAAUGCUUUUAAGAAAUAUAGAUCAAGCAGCCGGUUUAUGCAAUGGAGCGCGACUAAUAGUGGCUGAUCUUGGAACAAAUGUCAUAAAAGCCACUGUAAUAACUGGAACCAACAUUGGAGAUGACAUUUUCAUUCCAAGAAUGGACAUGGUUCCAUCUGUCUCAGGAGACCCGCUUAAGUUUGAAAGAUGUCAGUUUCCGAUCAGUUUGUGCUUUGCAAUGACUAUAAAUAAAAGUCAAGGUCAGUCACUAUCCCACGUUGGCCUAUAUCUUUCUCGCCCUGUAUUCACACAUGGACAACUGUAUGUUGCUCUCUCCGGGGUAAGAUCAAGAAAAGGACUCAAAUUAUUAGUGCUCGGUGAGGAAGAAAAAGUGACAAACGCUACAAAGAACGAAGUUUACCAAGAAGUAUUUAAAAAUAUAUGAAAUGUGUAUUUAAUUUUUUUAAAGUAUGUAAUCAAUUUUUUAUUUAUUUCACAAGCAUAAUAAAUUACAGUUUGGUGCUA